AUGAACGCUGGCGGCGUGCCUAAUACAUGCACGUCUAGCGAACAGACGAGGAGCUUGCUCCUCUGACGUUAGAGGCGGACGGGUGAGUAACACGUGGAUAACCUACCUAUAAGACUGGGAUAACUUCGGGAAACCGGAGCUAAUACCGGAUAAUAUAUUGAACCGCAUGGUUCAAUAGUGAAAGACGGUUUUGCUGUCACUUAUAGAUGGAUCCGCGCCGCAUUAGCUAGUUGGUAAGGUAACGGCUUACCAAGGCAACGAUGCGUAGCCGAACUGAGAGGGAGAUCGGCCACACUGGGACUGAGACACGGUCCAGACUCCUAAGGGAGGCAGCAGUAGGGAAUCUUCCACAAUGGGCGAAAGCCUGACGGAGCAACGCCGCGUGAAAGAUGAACGUCUUCGGAUCGUAAAACUUUGUUAUUGGGGCAGAAAAAAUGGUUAAGUAACUAUGCACGUCAUGACGGUACCUGAUCAGAAAGCAACGGCUAACAACGUG
rnacentral:rRNA from 1 species